GAGUUAACAGUCUUUCAUUUUGUGGGUCCGUUGCGUUAAUUGUAGGCAAUGGAAGUUAGCAGUUGUCCGUA
rnacentral:tRNA from 1 species